GACCGAGUGGGCAAGCGUUGCUCGGAAUUACUGGGCGUAAAGGGCCAGUAGGCGGCCAACUAAGUCGGAUGUGAAAUCCCCAGGCUCAACCUGGGAACUGCAUCCGAUACUGGAUGGCUUGAAUUCGGGAGAGGGAUGCAGAAUUCCAGGUGUAGCGGUGAAAUGCGUAGAUAUCUGGAGGAAUACCGGUGGCGAAGGCGGCAUCCUGGACCGACAUUGACGCUGAACGGCGAAAGCUAGGGGAGCAAACGGG
rnacentral:rRNA from 1 species